CAUGUACCGUUUGCAUUAAAAGUUGUAAAUUGCUUUAACCUCUAGAGAAGUUGUUAGGUCGUCCUAUAUAUAAAGAGAGAGAGAGAGAGAGAGAGAGAGAGAGAGAGAGAGAUUCAAGUUAAUGUGUAUAUGCAUGCACUCAUAGAAAAGUGCUGCUCGAUCUGGUAUUCUGAAUCAUGGCAGCUGCAAAUUCAUCAACCCUUAAAACAUUAAAACACUGGUCACUGGUGAGAUGUUCAAAGCAAAUCCGGGAACAAAAGGCGCGAAUCUAUAUCAUAUGGAGGUGCACCAUGUUUCUUAUUUGCUCACAUGAUGAUCAUUAACAAUUGAAUAGCUCAGCUAGGAAUUAAGAUAUGUAUACUGAUUGUGCAUGUGAUUAUCUUGAAUCUGAUGCGCUUGGUAUGGUAAACCUUGUGAAAUUUGAUCAGUCCAACACAUGUAAUAAUUUCUUAGCUAUUUAAAACACAACAAAGGCACAAGAUUUUUGUGGGGAUGUGCAUACAUACCUUAAAACUUAUAGUAUUUUGAGUGUACAAAUAUUACGAAAAAUUUAAACUUUUAAUUGUAUGCACAUACAUAGUUGUGAGCUGAGUGGUGCAUAUCCAAAGUAAAGAAUCUUGGAACUUACAUAGGGAAAAUCUCUAAAAUAGACAAGUCGAUUAAAAAUGUCACACAAAAAAGACAUGGUAAAUGAGUCAUUUCCAAACUAAACAUUUCAAGUAAAGGGCCUAUCAGUCAUCGACACGUUAACACAUGGAAACUUUUGAUCUUUAACCCCUUGAGCCCCACCAAUUAAAAACUAAUCGGGAUUCUCAGCAUUUGGAGAAAUUACUCUUAUCAGUUGAAUCUCUGGACUGGAAGAGUGACCCUUAGAAAAC